rnacentral:ncRNA from 1 species
UGAUAGCGUUGAAGCGAAAGUUGCUGAAAGUAACCACAAGGCACAGUAGAUCGAUUAUAUAUACAAUGAUCGACGGGUUAGAACAGGUAAUUUCGUGGAGCGAAGGUCAAGUCUAUGAUAUUUGACGGCAA